GCUGAAGAGAGGGGAAAACAUGGCGGCCGCUGCGCGGUGUCUGCACUGUGUUUGAAAAGCUCCCACUGAAGACUCCUAGGGAUGACUGAGGGUGCUUGAUGGAGGGCAGGAGGAGAGAGCUGGGAUCCGGAAUCCAGGCAGUGUACAGGGCCCGAGCUCCAGUUGAUGAAGUCACAUGGUUCCAGGGGCAGCAGCUGUUUCCCUGAAUACGAGGAUGGUGCUUUGAGACCAACCAGAAGUGAACUGUUUGUACAGAUUGAUGCUGCUGAAAUGCAAAGUGGAAACAUGUCAGGGGAAACAUGCACCCUGUCACCCCAGGAGAGAUGGCUCGGUGGUGAAUCAGACCCACAGGACAGUGGGGAACGCCAGGUGGGAGAGAACAGCACAUGCCUGUAUACCCUGCUGUGGAAAGAACCAGAAAAGCUGAAAGAAAACCUGUGAGGCCAGAAGCUGGGAUGUGGGAAGGCUUGAGAAGGGUGCAGGAGUCUCCAGGAACCAAACUGGUGUCAUGUGGAGGAGGCCAUGUGGCAGAGAUCCGUGGUGGCCUCUGGUUGCUGAGGGCCUCCGUCCCACAACUGCAAGGAACUAGGUUCUGCCAACACCCAGCAAGCCUGGGAGAGGAUGCCAGACUCCAGGGAGAUCACAGACCUGGCAACACCUUGAUCGUGGCUGUUGAAUCUCUGAGCAGAGGACAGAGCUGAGCCAUGCCUCUGUCCCACAGAAACGGUGAGAUCAUAAAUGGGCAUUGCUUUAUUCUGCUCUGCUGUUUAAACAUUUAUUUUUAUUUUUAAACGUUUUAUUGACAUAUAGUUGAUUUAUUAGAUUGUGAUCAUUUCUGCUAUACAAAAAGAGUGAUUUAAUUAUACAUGUACACACGUCCCUUCCCUUUCAGUUUCUUUUUCCACGUAGAUGACUAUAGAACAUUGGGUAGGAGUCUCUGUGCCAUACAGCAGGUCCCCGUUGGCCUGUCAUUCCAUAUAUCUUAGUGGACACACGCUAAUUCCCCAUCCCCAGUCUGUCCCUGCCUCCCCCCACCCUGUCCCUGUUGGUAAACCCUAAGUUUUUCAAACUCUAUGAGUCUGCUUCCGUUCUGCAAAUAAGUUCGAGAAGAUGUGAUACCUAUACACAAUGGAAUAUUGCUCAGCCAUACAAAAGCAUGAAUUAACACCAUUUGCAGCAACAUGGAUGGACCUAGAAAUUGUCAUACCAAGUGAAAUUCGGCAGUGAAAGACAAACAUCUUAUGAUAUCACUUAUAUGUGGAAUCUAAAAAAAGGACACAAAUGAAUUUACUCGGCUCUGUUGGUGGUCAUUUGUUUUGCAGCAAUAGACCGUUUACAUGAUCAGGGGCACUUUGCUGGUCAUUACUGUGUCCCCAUACCAGGCACAGGGCCUGUUGCAAGCAGAUAUUCGAUACAGGAUGUGUGGAGAAUGAGUAAGUGGAUGAAUGGAUGACAGCCAGCCAGGAACGCGUGGGAGCACUGCCCAACCAUGGGGUGUCGUGUGUGUCCUAGCCAGCUGUGGGGUCCCAGCUGCCUGCGAGCUCGGGGAGAGAGACCCUGGGGUGGGAUUCCUAAUAGAUACGGAUGUAACCGGAAGUCGCAUUUGGGUCCUGAAUGAGGGCCUGCAGCAGGCGUGACUUUCUCUGCGUUGGGAUUUAAAAGAUGCUCUGCUUCCCAAGCAUAUCACAAGAGGACCCCCCAGACGGACUUAGGGCUCUAGAGUUCCCUGAGCCCUAAGUGGUGGUGAAGGGCACUUUUGGACUCAAGGCUGUGGGGCUUGGGGGUGGGGGCGGGCCCCAGUGGCGCUGGAGUUGUUGGGCAGGGCUUGGCCUGCUGGCGGGAGCCCUGAGGAUGGGCAGUGGGUACCGAUCUUGAUUUUGCCAAGAGCUGGGGAAAAUCUUCUGGUGGUUCCCCGUUGCCCUGGAAUAAAACCCGACCCCUUCCACAUAUGUGUCAGGCCCAACCUGCUCUGGCCUGGCCUUUGGUUCUGGCCUCAGCUUGUGUCACUGGCCCCUUCUCUCACUCAGCACUGGGAUGCUGGCCAUCUCUCCGUCCCCUGGCCUGUCACGCACCAACCUGCCUGGCUCUUCCUUCUGCCUGGGUGCUUCCUUCCAGCUCUUCUGCCCCUUGUCCCUCACCUCCCCAGAGGUGUCUUCUGGGCUUCUUAGGUCUGGAGAGAUCCCAGCAUACUUCCCCACCCCCUGGUCACUCUGUCACAUCACCUGCUUUGUCCCUGCAUGGCACUUAUCACCAACUGAAGGGACAGGCUUACUCACAUACACUCUUGCUUAUUGCCUGUCACAGAUGCCAGAACUUGAGCUGUGAGCUUGUUUGCUCACUGCUGUAUCUCCAGCAAUUAAAAAAAAAAAAAAAAGUUCCCAGGCUAGGGGUUGAAUCGGAGCUGUAGCUGCCAGCCUACACCACAGCCACAGCAACACUGGAUCUGAGCCGAGUCUGCGAACUACACCACAGCUCAUGUCAACACCGGAUCCUUAACCUGCUGAGUGAGUCCAGGGAUCGAACCUGCAUCCUCAUGGAUACUAGUCAGGUUUCUUACCCAAGAGGCCGGAUGCAGUUCCCUGUGCUGCCCGACAGGGCUCCAUCCAUCACACAUCUGUUCUAAAUGUUAACAGUCUCCACCUACCAACCCCAAGCUCUCCAGCGAUUUUAGCACGCUGCUCUCUGUACACAGCAGGUGCUCAAAUAACUCUUUGUGGAAUGAAGCUGUCUUUCCUCUUGUCUUCAUGUCUCUGCCCCUAAACAGCUUGUCUGGUUCUCUAUGACCUCAGAGAGAACCCCUGAAGCCUUUUCAAAAGCCGACUGUGGCCAGCAGUGAAGAGAGACUGGAUGACAUCCGAUGAGUCGUGGGGACAGGGCAUGUGGAGCAGCAGGGCUAGAGGGUGGGUGGAGUUGAAUAUGCCCAGAUGUUGUUGUAGCAUCUGCUCCUGGUCAGCAUGGGGCAAGAACUGGGGUGGGGGGCUCAGCCUGAGAGUGUGACUCAAGUAGGCACUUACCUGAGUAAUGCAGCAAAUGGACAAGACAUCAUCUAAGGCUUCUUUUUCUUUUUGCCUUUUUUUUUAGGGCUGCAUAUGCAGCAUCUGGAGAUUCCCAGGCUAGGGGUUGAAUUGGAGCUGCAGCUGCUGGCCUAUGCCACAGCCACAGCAAUGCCAGAUCAAAGCCAUGUCUGCGACCUACACCACAGCUCACAGCAGCGCCAGAUCCUUAACCCAGUGAGCGAGGCCGGGGAUCGAACUUGCAUCCUCAUGGAUCCUAAUCAGGUUCAUUAACUGCUGAGCUAUGAAGGGAACUCCUAAGGCUUCUUUCUUCUUUUUUUUUCUUUUCUUUCCAGCAAGGGGGAAAGAUGUUUCUUUCAAACUCAACUGAUAGGGUUUCAGCCACACGCAGAACCGGGUUUUCAGUUGCUUCUCACACUUCAUAUAGCAGCUGGUUGGGAAAUAAAACAUCUUCCAUUUAGAUAAAUAAGCAAAAAAAAAGUCAGAAAAUUAAUAACCAGAAAGACACAUGUUAUUACCCUAUUUCUGAAACAAAACAAAGCCGUGUCAGAGGCAGGCCUCUGUGGCUGAGAUUGUGGGGAGGGAGGGGCUGGGGGCAUGGCAGAGGAAGCCCUGGGUGAUGGCUGGGGCGGGCCAGUGACCCCCAUCUCAUCUGCUUCUCAUCCGGAGCUCUGCUCACUGCCAGCCAGGCUGGGCUGGGCCUCCUGUCUCAGAGCCAGCUCUCCCGGAUCACUGUGACCUAAUCUCCCCCCAGGACUGUUUUCCCCUAAACGUGGCCCCCGUGAGGUCUCCCUUGCACAGAAGACUCUUGGGACUCUCCCCUGCCUGCACAUCCAAACACCUCUGCCCACAGCCUAUUUCUGGCACCAUUUCCCAGGCCCAGUUCCUGCCCAGGGCGAGUCACUGACAUUCAGGAGUGCUAUGUAGGUACCCGGGUCUGUGAAUGGUAGUUUACAUGUAUUGGCUCAUUUAAACCCAGGUGGAUGCUGGAUUUAUCAUACCCAUUUCACAGAUGAGAACAAUGAGGCACAGGGAGUGCUCAGCACCUACAGGUAAAGGCAGAGCUGAACUCCAGAACCCAAGCUUUGGGCUCUGGCUAGAGGUGGCCAGCUACUGGGUCAGGGGCAGAGGCCCCAAACAAAAUUGAAUAAAAAAUUACUAAAAAAUGUAAAAUGAGGGAAUCUCAAAAUACAAUGAAAAAACACUGAGUUAUAUUUGAGAGGAUUUCCUUUAAAAAUAUCAACACCUGAGUUCCUGUUGUGGCUCAGUGGGUUAAGAACCUGACAUAGUAUCCAUGAGGAUGCUGGUUCAAUCCCUGGCCUUGAUUAGUGGGUUAAGGAUCUGGCUUGCCACAAGCUGUUGCAGAUGCAGCUCAGACCUAGUGUUAUAGCUUUUGGCGCAGGCCAGCAGCUGCAUUUCCUAUUCAUCCCUUAGCUCGGGAACUUUCAUAUGCCACAGGUACAGCCCUAAAAAGUAAAAAAAAAAANAAAAAAAAAAAA
rnacentral:lncRNA from 1 species